GUGCGACGAACCAGGGCUUGCCCUGGGGCUAAGCCGCGAACGGGUGAGUAACACGUGAGUAACCUGCCCCGAUGACCGGGACAACCCGAGGAAACUCGGGCUAAUACCGGAUGUGGCGCACAGGUCUAAGCCUGUUCGCUAAAGGAAGCUUCGGCCUCCGCAUUGGGAGGGGCUCGCGGCCCAUUAGCUUGUUGGUGGGGUAACGGCCUACCAAGGCAACGAUGGGUAGCCGGGCUGAGAGGCUGUCCGGCCACACUGGGACUGAGACACGGCCCAGACUCCUACGGGAGGCAGCAGUGGGGAAUAUUGCGCAAUGGACGAAAGUCUGACGCAGCAACGCCGCGUGAGGGAUGACGGCCUUCGGGUUGUAAACCUCUUUCACCCAUGACGAAGCGAGAGUGACGGUAGUGGGAGAAGAAGGACCGGCCAACUACGUGCCAGCAGCCGCG
rnacentral:rRNA from 1 species